UACGUAGGGGGCAAGCGUUGUCCGGAUUUAUUGGGCGUAAAGAGCGUGUAGGCGGUUAGGUAGGUCCGUUGUGAAAACUCGAGGCUUAACCUCGAGCUGUCGGCGGAAACCAUCUGGCUAGAGUCCGGAAGAGGAGAAUGGAAUUCCCGGUGUAGCGGUGAAAUGCGCAGAUAUCGGGAAGAACACCCGUGGCGAAGGCGGUUCUCUGGGACGGUACUGACGCUGAGACGCGAAAGCGUGGGGAGCGAACAGG
rnacentral:rRNA from 1 species